rnacentral:lncRNA from 1 species
UUUAGUAUUGAUUCUUUAUCCUUAUCAAAAAAUGAAAGUCAGAGACGGGGAAGACACACCCUAUGGGCAAAGAAUGAUGAGUACAACACUGUUAGAAGCAUAACUCAAACUACUAUGUAUACAAGUAACAAGCAAGAACGAAUUAAAAAAAGCCUUGCAACAAAAAGUUGUGACACUGAAGCUAUUAAAAGCAAUGCAAGUCAAUCUGUUCUCUUUGCUAUUUAAGUUCAGCACCAAACAUACCUUAUCAU